AGUGAACGCUGGCGGCGUGCUUAACACAUGCAAGUCGAACGAGAACGGAUUAUAGCUUGCUAUAAUUGUCAGCUAAGUGGCGCACGGGUGAGUAAUGUAUAGGUAAUAUGCCUCUUACUAAGGGAUAACAAAUGGAAACGUUUGCUAAUACCUUAUACUCCUUAUUAACAGAAGUUAAUAAGUGAACGAUUUAUUGGUAAGAGAUUAGCCUGUGUUGUAUCAGUUAGUUGGUGGGGUAAUGGCUUACCAAGACUAUGACACAUAACUGGUUUGAGAGGAUGAUCAGUCACACUGGAACUGAGACACGGUCCAGACUCCUACGGGAGGCAGCAGUGGGGAAUAUUGCACAAUGGACGAAAGUCUGAUGCAGCAACGCCGCGUGGAGGAUGACACAUUUCGGUGCGUAAACUCCUUUUAUAUGAGAAGAUAAUGACGGUAUUAUAUGAAUAAGCACCGGCUAACUCCGUGCCAGCAGCCGCAGUAA
rnacentral:rRNA from 1 species